GACGAAGGUGGCUAGCGUUAUUCGGAUUUACUGGGCAUAGAGCGCGCGUAGGCGGCUUGACAAGUCAGAGGUGAAAGCCUGCAGCUCAACUGCGGUGUGCCUCCGAAACUGUCGAGCUUGAGUGCAGGAGGGGUAAUUGGAACUCCAGGUGUAGCGGUGAAAUGCGUAGAUAUCUGGAGGAACACCAGAGGCGAAGGCGAAUUACUGGACUGCAACUGACGCUGAGGCGCGAAAGCUAGGGGAGCAAACAGG
rnacentral:rRNA from 1 species